rnacentral:rRNA from 1 species
AGGAUGAACGCUGGCGGCGUGCCUAAUACAUGCAAGUCGAGCGAACGGACGAGAAGCUUGCUUCUCUGAUGUUAGCGGCGGACGGGUGAGUAACACGUGGAUAACCUACCUAUAAGACUGGGAUAACUUCGGGAAACCGGAGCUAAUACCGGAUAAUAUUUUGAACCGCAUGGUUCAAAAGUGAAAGACGGUCUUGCUGUCACUUAUAGAUGGAUCCGCGCUGCAUUAGCUAGUUGGUAAGGUAACGGCUUACCAAGGCAACGAUGCAUAGCCGACCUGAGAGGGUGAUCGGCCACACUGGAACUGAGACACGGUCCAGACUCCUACGGGAGGCAGCAGUAGGGAAUCUUCCGCAAUGGGCGAAAGCCUGACGGAGCAACGCCGCGUGAGUGAUGAAGGUCUUCGGAUCGUAAAACUCUGUUAUUAGGGAAGAACAUAUGUGUAAGUAACUGUGCACAUCUUGACGGUACCUAAUCAGAAAGCCACGGCUAACUACGUGCCAGCAGCCGCGGUAAUACGUAGGUGGCAAGCGUUAUCCGGAAUUAUUGGGCGUAAAGCGCGCGUAGGCGGUUUUUUAAGUCUGAUGUGAAAGCCCACGGCUCAACCGUGGAGGGUCAUUGGAAACUGGAAAACUUGAGUGCAGAAGAGGAAAGUGGAAUUCCAUGUGUAGCGGUGAAAUGCGCAGAGAUAUGGAGGAACACCAGUGGCGAAGGCGACUUUCUGGUCUGUAACUGACGCUGAUGUGCGAAAGCGUGGGGAUCAAACAGGAUUAGAUACCCUGGUAGUCCACGCCGUAAACGAUGAGUGCUAAGUGUUAGGGGGUUUCCGCCCCUUAGUGCUGCAGCUAACGCAUUAAGCACUCCGCCUGGGGAGUACGACCGCAAGGUUGAAACUCAAAGGAAUUGACGGGGACCCGCACAAGCGGUGGAGCAUGUGGUUUAAUUCGAAGCAACGCGAAGAACCUUACCAAAUCUUGACAUCCUUUGACAACUCUAGAGAUAGAGCCUUCCCCUUCGGGGGACAAAGUGACAGGUGGUGCAUGGUUGUCGUCAGCUCGUGUCGUGAGAUGUUGGGUUAAGUCCCGCAACGAGCGCAACCCUUAAGCUUAGUUGCCAUCAUUAAGUUGGGCACUCUAAGUUGACUGCCGGUGACAAACCGGAGGAAGGUGGGGAUGACGUCAAAUCAUCAUGCCCCUUAUGAUUUGGGCUACACACGUGCUACAAUGGACAAUACAAAGGGCAGC